CGCGGAAGGCCGACGGACGGACCCCUCGCCAACCCGGUCAGGUCCGGAAGGAAGCAGCCGUAACGAGUUUCGGCCCGGGUCGCUCGGUCUUCCACCUUC
rnacentral:SRP_RNA from 1 species